GAUGAACGCUAGCUACAGGCUUAACACAUGCAAGUCGAGGGGCAUCAGGAAGAAAGCUUGCUUUCUUUGCUGGCGACCGGCGCACGGGUGAGUAACACGUAUCCAACCUGCCCUUUACUCGGGGAUAGCCUUUCGAAAGAAAGAUUAAUACCCGAUAGCAUAAUGAUUCCGCAUGGUUUCAUUAUUAAAGGAUUCCGGUAAAGGAUGGGGAUGCGUUCCAUUAGGUUGUUGGUGAGGUAACGGCCCACCAAGCCUUCGAUGGAUAGGGGUUCUGAGAGGAAGGUCCCCCACAUUGGAACUGAGACACGGUCCAAACUCCUACGGGGGGCAGCAGUGAGGAAUAUUGGUCAAUGGGCGCUAGCCUGAACCAGCCAAGUAGCGUGAAGGAUGAAGGCUCUAUGGGUCGUAAACUUCUUUUAUAUAAGAAUAAAGUGCAGUAUGUAUACUGUUUUGUAUGUAUUAUAUGAAUAAGGAUCGGCUAACUCCGUGCCAGCAGCCGCGGUAAUACGGAGGAUCCGAGCGUUAUCCGGAUUUAUUGGGUUUAAAGGGAGCGUAGGUGGACUGGUAAGUCAGUUGUGAAAGUUUGCGGCUCAACCGUAAAAUUGCAGUUGAUACUGUCAGUCUUGAGUACAGUAGAGGUGGGCGGAAUUCGUGGUGUAGCGGUGAAAUGCUUAGAUAUCACGAAGAACUCCGAUUGCGAAGGCAGCUCACUGGACUGCAACUGACACUGAUGCUCGAAAGUGUGGGUAUCAAACAGGAUUAGAUACCCUGGUAGUCCACACAGUAAACGAUGAAUACUCGCUGUUUGCGAUAUACAGUAAGCGGCCAAGCGAAAGCAUUAAGUAUUCCACCUGGGGAGUACGCCGGCAACGGUGAAACUCAAAGGAAUUGACGGGGGCCCGCACAAGCGGAGGAACAUGUGGUUUAAUUCGAUGAUACGCGAGGAACCUUACCCGGGCUUAAAUUGCAGUGGAAUGAUGUGGAAACAUGUCAGUGAGCAAUCACCGCUGUGAAGGUGCUGCAUGGUUGUCGUCAGCUCGUGCCGUGAGGUGUCGGCUUAAGUGCCAUAACGAGCGCAACCCUUAUCUUUAGUUACUAACAGGUUAUGCUGAGGACUCUAGAGAGACUGCCGUCGUAAGAUGUGAGGAAGGUGGGGAUGACGUCAAAUCAGCACGGCCCUUACGUCCGGGGCUACACACGUGUUACAAUGGGGGGGUACAGAAGGCAGCUAGCGGGUGACCGUAUGCUAAUCCCAAAAUCCUCUCUCAGUUCGGAUCGAAGUCUGCAACCCGACUUCGUGAAGCUGGAUUCGCUAGUAAUCGCGCAUCAGCCACGGCGCGGUGAAUACGUUCCCGGGCCUUGUACACACCGCCCGUCAAGCCAUGGGAGCCGGGGGUACCUGAAGUACGUAACCGCAAGGAUCGUCCUAGGGUA
rnacentral:rRNA from 1 species